AACGAACGCUGGCGGCGUGCCUAACACAUGCAAGUCGAGCGAGAAAGCCCGCAAGGGUGAGUAAAGCGGCGCACGGGUGCGUAACACGUGGGUAAUCUGCCCUGGAGUCCGGAAUAACUCGCCGAAAGGCGUGCUAAUGCCGGAUAAGACCACGGGAACUUCGGUUCCUGCGGGAAAAGGUGGCCUCUGUACACAAGCUAUCACUCCUGGAUGAGCCCGCGGCCCAUCAGCUAGUUGGCGGGGUAACGGCCCACCAAGGCCACGACGGGUAGCUGGUCUAAGAGGACGAUCAGCCACACUGGAACUGAGACACGGUCCAGACUCCUACGGGAGGCAGCAGUGGGGAAUCUUGCGCAAUGGGCGAAAGCCUGACGCAGCAACGCCGCGUGUGUGAUGAAGGUCUUCGGAUCGUAAAGCACUGUCGCGAGGGACGAAUAAGGUGCCGGCUAACAUCCGGCGCUGAUGACGGUACCUCGAGAGGAAGCACCGGCUAACUCUGUGCCAGCCGCCGCCGUAAGAC
rnacentral:rRNA from 1 species